rnacentral:lncRNA from 1 species
GCGCCGCAACCCCAGAGUCGGCCAUGACUGGACCUAAUGGUCAGGGGUCCCUUUACCUUUACCUUUAUGUCUUUGUUUAAUGAAGGGGAGGUUGUAGCCUCUGCCUGCCCCUCCUCAAUAAGGGCAUCCUGUUAAAGGGAUUUGGGCGUGUGGAUCCUGUCCAAAGCCCAGGCGUGGGCUAGGGCCAUGCCAUUAUUCCAAGGGGUACCCCUUGGGGUGCCCCUAUUUGAUGUAUGUCAUAGGGGUUUACCCUUAGCUGGACUCCCUGCAGACGGGUGGGAGUUGAGAUAUAGCCUGGUUUCACCCAAUGCCUAACCCAAACCGCUCACAUCUGUAGCCAAUAAAGUUGUAGCCUGUUUUAGCCCAUAAUCCAAAAUACUCGGGUUGGUGUGCUUAUUAAUCAGUGGGGAGCUACAGGGCAUGGGGCCUUGGGACGCAACAGUGUAAAAAACAUAAACAACUCAAUAACAGCAGGUGAAAAGUGUAACCAGUAAGAAAACAUAACUGAAAGUAAAAAUGCAGAUGGAAACAGAAGCAGAGACAAACAAAUCAACUUGUAGGCCAAAUGCCCAUUUAAAUAAAUAGGGGUUUGUCUGGUGGAAGAGGGCCAUUCGGCAGAUGGUAAUGCGACUCUCCAAAGUCUUGACACAGCCCCUGAGACGCCAUAGAAUCAGAUGGAAUGAGAUUUUGAAACCCACAUCCUUUCAUGUGGAACAAGAUUUUUCAACUGCUGCUUAGAAUCAAAAGGGUUGGUUGCCUAUAAACUGUUGUUGUUGUUUAGUCGUUUAGUCGUGUCCGACUCUUUGUGACCCCAUGGACCAGAGCAUGCCAGGCACUCCUGUCUUCCGAGCACGAUUCAAAGUGUUGGUGCUGACCUUUAAAGUCCUAAAAGGCCUCGGUCCUGUAUACCUGAAGGAGCGUCUCCACCCCCAUCGUUCAGCCCGGACACUGAGAUCCAGCGCCGAGGGCCUUCUGGCGGAUCCCUCAUUGCGAGAAGUGAGGCUACAGGGAACCAGACAGAGGGCCUUCUCGGUAGUGGCGCCCGCCCUGUGGAACGCCCUCCCAUCAGAUGUCAAAGAGAUAAGAUGUCUUCUGAAUGUCAGGUAAUUAUUUAAGGCAGCCCUGUUCAGGGAAGUUUUUAAUAUGUAACGCUGUACUGUUUUUAACACUGAUUGGGAGCCGCCCAGAGUGGCUGGGGAAACUCAGCCAGAUGGGCGGGGUAUAAAUAAUAAAUUAUUAUUAUUAUUAUUAUUGUUAUUAUUACACUGCCUCCCAGUUUGGUCAAACUCAUGCUAGUAGCUUCCAGAACACUGUCCAACCAUCUCAUCGUCUGUCGUCCCCUUCUCCUUGUGCCCUCCAUCUUUCCCAACAUCAGGGUCUUUUCCAGGGAGCCUUCUCUUCUCAUGAGGUGGCCAAAGUAUUGGAGUCUCAGCUUCAGGAUCUGUCCUUCCAGUGAGCACUCAGGGCUGACUUCCUUCAGAAUGGAGAGGUUUGAUCUUCUUGCAGUCCAUGGGACUCUCAAGAGUCUCCUCCAGCACCAGAACCAUAACUACUCUGCCCAAAUGGAUGGCCGUGCUCUCCCACAAUAUCAACAUAGGAAGCUGCCUUAAACUGAGUGUGUUGUCUUUAUUGGCUGGCAUUAGCUCUCCAGAAUAUCUCCCAGUGCUUGCUGGAGAUCCUGGGGAUAUGAUCUAGGCCCUUCUACAUGCAAAGCAGAGGCUCUGCCACUAAUCUGUGGUCCUUUCCCCAACCAAGUGGACUGGGAACGUCCAGCAGGUUUAAAUAUACUGUCCACCUGGGUGCCAGCACAUGGAACAGCUCUUCACUGAUACCAUCUCCACAUUCAUGCAUUCUAAGCAUAUGAAAUUUAAGCCACCUGGGACAAUAAGUGGCGGAUGUUAUCAUGCAACCCCAAUGCAAAUUUGCAAUUGAACUGUUCCUUGCACUUUAAGCUAUGUUUGUGCCUUGAUUGUUUGCUAUAUUCUUUUUUCUUUUCUUUUUUUACAACUAGAAAAGUGAUCUUGCUCUGAGGAUUGGUGUGUGUGUGUGUGUGUGUGUGUGUGUGUGGAAAGUAAAAAAAACAACAACCCAAACUGAAGAAUGUUGACAAAUUAAAUAUUGAUCUGGUUCUGCAUGCUGAGAAAAACAACAAAACGAAAAACCCAAAGCGAAAGAAAAAGACGGAGAGUGCAAUGAUUCAUUUGCUAGUGUGCUGGAGGUGAUGCCAGAAGCAUUAAUGAGUUUAACUGUUUGAGUGGUCCACUUGGGGUGCUGUCAGAUAAAAAAUGCCUCGAGAGCCUUGGGAUAGAAUUGGAAUCGAGAGGAGCCCAUCCCUUAUGGUUGACACAUGAACGGCAGUCUCCCUUGAGCUGAAUUAUACAGGCCAGAGUCAGAUGUUAUAUAUGGGGACAGGGAAGAAGGAUUUGAUGGUCCAACGUGUUCUGAGAUGAACGUCUUAUCAUUCCCUGAACAGGAGCUUAGUCUGAUUAUGCUGCAGGCAUGCUUAUGGCAUAGACUGGAACUAUGAUCCCUAUGCUUUUGAAUUAUGGUGCUGGAGGAGACUCUUGAGAGUCCCAUGGACUGCAAGAAGAUCAAACUGAUCCAUUCUUAAGGAAAUCAGCCCUGAGUGUUCACUGGAAGGACAGGUCCUGAAGCUGAGGCUCCAAUACUUUGGCCACCUCAGGAGAAGAGAAGACUCCCUGAAAAAGACCCUGAUGUUGGGAAAGAUGGAGGGCACAAGGAGAAGGGGAUGACAAAGGAUGAGAUGGUUGGACAGUGUUCUCGAAGCUACCAGCAUGAGUUUGACCAAACUGCGGGAGGCAGUGGAAGACAGAAGUGCCUGGCGUGCUCUGGUCCAGGGUGUCAUGAAGAGUCGGACAUGACUAAACAAUUAAACAACAACAACAAUGAUCCCUAACAGCAUUUAGAACACAGGAAGCUGCCUUAUAUUGACUCAAACCAUUGGCCCAUCUUGCUCAGUAAUGCCUACAUGGAUGACCAGCAGUUCCCCAGGGUUUCAGGUACGGGUCUUUGUGAUUCAAGGACCCGCCACCCACUUGUGAAUAAGAAAGACACAUGGACAUGGUAUAUUAGGUCAAUGGGCUAAAAAAAGGCCACAGCUUUAUUGAUUACAGCAUAUGAGAGGUAUUGGCUUAGGCAUUGGAUAAAACAACAGAGCGUGACUCCAUCCCCUCAGGGAGGGUGAGUCUAUCAAGGAUUAACCACCAAUGGGAGGAGCCUGUUGAUGCAAAUACAACUGAAAGCUCCCCCUGAUGUCACCGGGGGUAGUGCCAUGGCCCUAGCCACCAGCAAGGGCGUCGGACAGGAUCCACGACCGCUGGAUUCCUUUACCGGAAUACCCAUAAAGAGGAGGGGUAGGUGAUAGCCACACCCUGCUCUCCAAUCCACAAACAUAUUCCAAUACCUAACUGCCAAUACUAAAAGUUGUGAUGAUUUGCUAUGAGGUAGGCAAAAAACCAAGUGGCCGGUGCCAAUUUGCCAGCUGGAUAAAAAUUCCUACCAGGCCCCUUGGACAACCAAGGCGUCCAACCAUAGGUCCAUAGCAAUGUCAAGAACCAAGCAAUGAACUAAAGGGAGGGUGCAUGGGUGAUCCGACGAAAACCAGCAGCAGAAUGAAUAGGAAGCGCUGCCGCAGCCGCGUUUGGGCGGCUAAACUCCACCCCCAAGCCUCAACCUGAUUGGUUGGCUGCCUGGGGGCGUGGCAUGGCACCGAAACGCCCCCUGCCAAGGCGUGAAAUGGCUCCCACUCACAACUCCUCCCCUCUGUAAGGAGGAGAGGCUUUCCUGUCACAGAAGCAUGCUGGUAAGUAAUCAAACUGUUCAAAGCUGGAUAUUCAUUAGCAAAAAUACAAUCCCCACAGACCUGGCUGAGUGUCUGUUCUAAUGAGCACAGCAGCUCAUCCCCAGUGAUCUUACUCCAUGAAUACCAGCUGCCGAGACUGAAGGUCUGCACCUCCUCACAACCAAGUUCCCUCCUCUCCAGGGCUUUCCCCAAGCAAUCAGAGACUGAGACUGCAUGCAGCCUGCUGCCUCCCUCCUUGCCUGCUUUAGCUUCUGCCUCCGAUUCUGAACUUAUUUCUGCCACAGACUCUCCCAGCUCACUAAGCCCUGUUGCCUCCUCAUCUUCUGACACCUCUCCCCCAUCUUUUCUUUCUUCUUCCUCUGCCCAUUCAUCAUUGUCCCACCACCACUCCUCUUCCCUUGGUGGUUCCUUAGCUGGUUCCUCCCACCACUCCUCUGCAUCCAACCAAUCCAUGAUCCUUCCCAACCCUACCAGGAGAUGCUGAGGAUUGAGCCUGGGACUGUAUGCAUGCAAAGCAGAUGUUCUACCAUUGAGCUACCACCCUUCCCUAAAAGGGAACAUAGGAAGCUGUCUUCUGCUGAGUCAGACUGGUGGUCCAGUGGUCCACACUGAUUAGUAGUGGCACUCCAGGGUUUUAGGCAGAAGCAUUUGCCAGCCAUAUCUGUCAGGAGCUCAUCCUACACUCGAGUAGGACCCUGGCAGAGACACAUGCCCGACUGGCAUGUUCUCUUCCUCCUGGUCGAUCGUUCGGGAGCUUUUCAAAAGCUUUCUUUCUUUUUUGGGGGGGGGAUUGUAGGGAAAGACCUGCCAAAAAAGUUGAAAAACAUCUUCAUGUAUGCGACAACGGCCGCCAGAGUUCUGGUAGCACAAGGAUGGAAGACUGAAGAAACCCCAACUAAAGAAUCAUGGCAAGAAAAAUGGAUGGACUAUGCAGAACUGGCAAAACUGACAUACAAGCUACAGGACAAGGAUAACUGUGACUUUAAGGAUGAAUGGGAACCUUUUACAAAGUAUCUGAAGAUGCAACAAAGCGAACUGGACUCCUUGGCAGGUUUUGAAUAAACAUACACAAACUUUUUAUUGAUAAUAAUCAGCUAAAUAGUUUGAGGAUCUAUACAACUUUGUAACAUGCAGAAAACAGCAUUCUUAGAGAAACCAAAGACUGAGGGAAGUCGGGGGGUGGGAGUGGGUGGGUUUUGUGUGGGAGGGGGGAGGAGGAAAAAUGGGGGGGAACAAGGAUGAUAUGUUUUUGGAUAAUAUGUCUUGUUAUAAUUUUGAAUAAAUAAAAACAAAACAAAACAAAACAAAGCUUUCUUCAGCCCGAACAUCACAUCGACUGAUGCCAAGAGACAUCGGCACACUUAGGGAUCCGCAGAGUCUUUGCAGCUUGCAUGACAGACCUCAGCAACUCAGCAUUUUGGCUAAUCUACUUUAUUUACAUAUAGACACACACAGAGCACUGCAACAUGGCUCCCUCUCUCUCUAGCAUCAGACAGCAAAGAGAAAAAGCACAAAGGACAAUAGUCCCACUUCACGGAACACAGUAACACAAACAUCCUUUCUCCGUCACUUCCCACUCUGUGGAGUCAAAACAUACACCGUCAUGUGAUAGACAACAAUCCCAUGACUGCAAUAAUGGAGCAGGAAUUCUAACUGCAAUCAUGGAGCAGGAAUUCUGAGACCUUCUGCAUGUAAGACCUGAGCCAUGGUCCUUUAUUCUACCGUGGGGCUUCUUCACACAAGGUAUUUUCUUUUGGAAAAAUCCCGUUUAGAGUCACAAAAUAGAUCCUUGCAUUAACUUCACCCAAGGCCAGUUUACACCAGUGUACAAACACAGGUGAAAGAUAGGCAGACGGAUACAAACACACAAUUUAUAUCUGCAAAAUAUAUCUUCGUUCUUCUCCAACAUGUG